rnacentral:tRNA from 1 species
AGGGCAGCAGUUCAGUGGUAGAGCUCCCGCUUCGUGUGCGGGAAGGUCUGGGUCCGAUUCCCGGCUGCUUCC